UGGGGAAUAUUGGACAAUGGGCGCAAGCCUGAUCCAGCCAUGCCGCGUGAGUGAUGAAGGCCCUAGGGUUGUAAAGCUCUUUCACCGAUGAAGAUAAUGACGGUAGUCGGAGAAGAAGCCCCGGCUAACUUCGUGCCAGCAGCCGCGGUAAUACGAAGGGGGCUAGCGUUGUUCGGAAUUACUGGGCGUAAAGCGCACGUAGGCGGAUUGUUAAGUGAGGGGUGAAAUCCCAGGGCUCAACCCUGGAACUGCCUCUCAUACUGGCAAUCUCGAGUUCGAGAGAGGUGAGUGGAAUUCCGAGUGUAGAGGUGAAAUUCGUAGAUAUUCGGAGGAACACCAGUGGCGAAGGCGGCUCACUGGCUCGAUACUGACGCUGAGGUGCGAAAGCGUGGGGAGCAAACAGG
rnacentral:rRNA from 1 species